GGCGGGGUAUAGAAGGCGAAUGGGACGAGGAGAGGGGCGGGGCCGUCCCGACCCCGCCUUCCCGCGAGAGAAGGUCUGAAUCCAGUUAUUCAGCAAAAAGCAGCAUGAGAUCACCUUCUAACACCUCUCCAGCUCCUUUGGGGUAGGUGAAAAGGGUUUUCCGUGGUGGGGCAAGGUCUGAGACACUGAAACCUGAUGCAGUAACAGAACUUCCACUGACCCCACCAGCUGAGGAGGAGGAUGAAGAGGCUGCCAUUUCCUCUAGUAGAAUUUUCACUUCACUGAAGAGAAAGAAAAACAGCAAUUGGCAAAUUUAUGGAUGUGAGACUGACAACAUUUCACUCUAACUGCCACAAGGACCAGCAUAUAAUUUUGUAAAGAAUUAGCUCUCCUUUUUUUCUAUCCUCUUUACUUCCAACAACCUUUUAUUGAAACCUCAGACCAAAAUUUCAUGCAGGUUUUGAAGUAAAAACAUGCUUUAGAAUAUUCUGUCUACUAAAACAAUUAGUUUCUAUCAUUAGCAAACUAUUUAUGUCAUUUGAGAUUGACUGAAGGUAAUUUAUAAAUUAAGAAGGGGUAGUAUGGUAGUGCCAAGGCAAAAAUGUGACUGAGCAAAUAAAUUAUGAGGUUAAAAUAAUCAUCUUCCAUAGGACAGUUUGUCUUGGAUACAUCCUGACCAAGCCACACCAAGAAAUUCACUCAUAAAAUUUUCCAAAUAAGAUUCCAGAAAACACUGUGUUCUGUUCCCAGGGAAGGGAAAUUGGUUAGGAAAUACACAUUGGCACUUUCAUCAAAAUUAAAAAAAAAAAAAAAAAAAUCUUUUAAUCCAAAUGUAAUACCUGAAUUUAUCACUUGGUGG